CGAUUUUCUAGAACGCGUCGGAGUGCACAUCUAACUGACCAGCGAUGAUUUGUUGUUUACGGCGGUAGAAUCUACUUCCUCAAAUGAUAGUGGUACUAACGAUGAUUAUGAUGUUGAUGAAGAUGUCAAUGAUGAAGCCAUUAUUGAAAAUGUUAACGUGCCAGAACCUAUUGAAUAACCUAAUCAUAAUAAUAAUGAUCCAGAACCUGCGAUAGAAGAUAAGGCUAGAAGACCAAUAUAUCCAAAUUGCCCUCUAACAAAGGAAGAAAGCGAUCUACUCUUAAUGAGUUACAUAAUUCGGCAUGGAGCAAGUGGGACUGCAUUGGAAGAUCUCAUAGAUUUAAUUAAUUGACACUUUCCCGAACCACUAUCUUUCUUCAAAGUAUUUAUUUUUAAAAAAGUUUCUCGACAUCGCACAACUUGUUACAUGUUAUUAUUGUACAGGAUGUAUUUCUUUAUUAGAUAUUUUAAAGGAAGACAAAGUAUAAAUUGUCCAAAUUGUCAUUGUCGUAAUACAGAAUCAGUUCUUAAACGGAAUGGAAAUUUUUUCGUAUACAUUCCAAUUAAGGAACAGUUACGACAGUUACUGUCGAAUAGUGUCUUCCAUAAAUUACAAAGAACUUGUAAUGAUAAUAAUUUAUUAUCAGAUGUUACAAGUAGGAAAGUGUAUCGCUCGAUGGUUGAAAAUCAAGUUAUAUCUGAUUUCGAUAUAACCUUACAAUGGAACACUGAUGGUGUUAAUACUUUUAAAUCAUCAAAAGUAUCAA